ACGGGAGGCAGCAGUGGGGGUAUUGCACAAUGGAGGAAACUCUGAUGCAGCAACGCCGCGUGAGGGAAGAAGGUCUUCGGAUUGUAAACCUAAGUUAUCAGGGACGAAUAAAAUGACGGUACCUGAAGAGAAAGCUCCGGCUAACUACGUGCCAGCAGCCGCGGUAAUACGUAGGGAGCGAGCGUUGUCCGGAUUUACUGGGUGUAAAGGGUGCGUAGGCGGGCUUGCAAGUCAGGCGUGAAAUCCCGUGGCUUAACUGCGGGGCUGCGCUUGAAACUGUAGGUCUUGAGUGAAGUAGAGGCAAGCGGAAUUCCCAGUGUAGCGGCGAAAUGCGUAGAUAUUGGGAGGAACACCAGUGGCGAAGGCGGCUUGCUGGGCUUUAACUGACGCUGAGGCACGAAAGCAUGGGGAGCAAACAGGAUUAGAUACCCUGGUA
rnacentral:rRNA from 1 species